AAUUGUUCGCAAUGGGCGCAAGCCUGACGACGCAACGCCGCGUGGAGGAUGAAGACCUUCGGGUCGUAAACUCCUUUCGACCGAGAUGAAUAGCCACUGAUCUAAUACAUUGGUGGCCUGACAGUAUCGAGGGAAGAAGCCCCGGCUAACUCCGUGCCAGCAGCCGCGGUAAUACGGAGGGGGCUAGCGUUGUUCGGAAUUACUGGGCGUAAAGCGCACGUAGGCGGCUUUACAAGUCAGGGGUGAAAGCCCGCGGCUCAACCGCGGAAUUGCCCUUGAGACUGUAUCGCUUGAACACGGGAGAGGUGAGUGGAAUUCCGAGUGUAGAGGUGAAAUUCGUAGAUAUUCGGAAGAACACCAGUGGCGAAGGCGGCUCACUGGACCGUUGUUGACGCUGAGGUGCGAAAGCGUGGGGAGCAAAC
rnacentral:rRNA from 1 species